GGAUAUACUGGAAAUGGGUUUGUUUUGUACUGCUUCUGUUUCUACCUCAAAACCUCAGUCUUGCAAAAUAAACUUAUAUAAAUAAAGCCUUUUUGGCUUGACAAUAAAUUAUGACAACUGUGUUACACUGCACAUUGAAUAUCCUUUAGGAUAAAGCUGUUGUGAAACAGAAACCUAUAUAACCUCACUCGUAAAGAAGAACAGAGGCAUGCUGUGUUGUGUUGUGUUGUGUUGUGUUGUGUUGUGGAGAAGGAGUUUAGUGAGUUAUGGAUGGAUUUGCUUCUGGGAUGGAGUCGUGUUUUGCGUGCAUUUUGGCUGAACGUGUGCUGGGAAGGUGAAACCACAACGCUGAUAGACCAACAAAACCUAGGCUGCUGUGAUAAAUAAAGAUGAUGAAUUAACAUCAUGUUUUGAGUUAUUUAGUGAGCAGGAUUUGCUGGGGAUGAACUCUGUGGAUGAAGGAAUGAAGAGAGGAGUUACAAGGGGCCAUGGAAAGCUUCAGGGAAAGUGUGAGUGUGAGGCUUAAUAGAAGUUCAGAUCUUCUUCCGAAUGAUCCAGAGCACCACAGGGGAACCUACAGAACCAUCCAGACCUCAUUUAAAGUAGCCCCGAACUCAAAACAUGAUGUUUAAAUCAUGAACUCUUCUUGGAAGCAGAUUCCGAUGAUAUAAACAGUGAAACUACGAACUAGUUUCAUAUUAACAGGGUUUGCGAUGUAUAGCUUCGGACCAAUCACGUCAGAGAUUGGGGUUGUCAUGGUAACAUUACGCUGGUUUAAUUUUCUCCCCGAUUCCCACGCACCAGCUAACUCUCUCCUAUGACAAUAUGCAAACCGAGACGCUGAUACAUGAUCCCUGACUAAUGUGAGAGGGUUUACUAUAAGUUAGCAAGGACAUGGACGGUGCUUUCCUUACUUACUGUAGAAAUUUACGCCCUAUAGAGGAGUUGCAUGAGUCAGUAGCAGCAAUAUUCACGUAUCAGAAAUAGCAAUUAACGAUUUCCAGUUAUGCAGUUAUACACGUAGUUAGACUUUUUUUCUCAUCCUUGGUGACGUACGUCCUUCCUGGGAACAGAGCGCAGACGACAUGGGCAGAGAGAGAGAGACCCUUAAAAGCAGACGUAUGGUCUAUGCUCUGAUUCAGGACUGGACUUCCUUUUUAGGGGCUUGGUAUUUCGUUUGCUGUGAAAGCAUCACGUUGAAAAAAGAAACGAAAAAAACAAACCCCAUUCGACUUUAUUGCCUUUGAGAGCCAGCCAGAGAUGAUGUUGACGAAGAUUUAGAGCUUGAUGGAGGGAUUACAGGACAGACUGGAGAAUGUGUGAAAUACUGUAGCAUCGCACAUGUGAAUAUAGAGUAUGUAUCUCGUUCAUUAAUCCAUCACCAGUAAAUGCAUUAUUUUUAUCAGGCUUUUGGGGAAUCUGGGAAUACUGAGGCAGGAUGGGACGCUGGAUACUGGAGCAUACACACGUAUUCACGCACACCUGGCGAGCACUUCCCUGCCCGCAACAGAGAGAAGAGUCCGUUGGUCAGAUGGCUGAGGGCCUUCAAUCUCUUCCUGGCCUUGGUCCAGCACCACUUGCUGUAGAUAGACUGCAGGUCAGGUGCGCUCAGCUGAUCUCGCCACCUGCUGGAGAGCCACCGAUCCUGCUUUAACCAGGCUGUGAUGCGUCCCAUCAGGAGGCUCUCGAUGGUGCGGGUGUAGAAGUGCCUUAGCACCUUAGAGGGCAGUUUAAAGUCCCUUAAGCAUCGAAGGGACUUUAAACUGCCCUCUAAGGUGCGAAGGCUACAAACUGGCCUACAAACAUGGCCGCCAUGGACCGCAAUUCCCAGAACACUCAUUCAUUCUAAUCACGCACACCUGCAUCCAAUCUCACACACAAUCACAACACAGUUUAAAAGGACUCUCGAGGCGUUCACUCUUUGCGAAGUAUUGAGUGGUAUCACCGUACCGAGCGUUUGUACCCUGUUCCUCGUUUUUUUAUUCGUGUUCUUUGAUCUUGUUUCUUGUUUCUCGUUCUUGAUUCUUGCCUUGCCUCGCCUUGUUUACGCCUGUUUGCAGAUCGCCUGACCCAUUGCCUGUUUUUGACCACGUUAUUGUCUCAUGAUUUGGAUUCGUUUGCCUUCCUCUCUUUAUUAAACGCUCUUAACUGCACUUGCAUCCGUCCUAACCUCCAUUACGUCCAAAACGUGACCGGCGCUCCUCAGGUAGCUCCUCUCCUGCUUUGUGCUGAAAAGCCAAUCCACCUACUGGCAUGGUUUUGCACAGAAAUCCUCAAUAUGCCGAUAUUUGAUAUACUGUAUUGUUUCACAAUACACUUUCCUGAGAUAUUGCAGAUAUUUAGAUGUCUUUUUCUUUAAAAAAAAACAAACAACAAAACAAAACUGGAAUCAGUUACUGUAUUACUGUCAAUUUUUUCACAAACCUUUCUAUCAUGAUACGGGUCACCUUUGAAGAACGUUUGCGUUUAUAUGAGCCCGUUUUCUACAUGGUGCUGACUGAUGACGUGAGCAGCACCGUAUGCAGUAAUGUUCUUUACAUCGCAGGUUUAUCCUUAGACGAUCGUCUUCAUAUAAUCUGACACGGAGAACACUUUAUCGCAUAGUGUGGUAUAGAAUUCACCAACCCAUCGUCAUAAACCAGGAUAAUAACCAUCAUUUCCAAAACAGGAAACUGGGCGUAUUCUUUUUUUCUUCGCCAUGAAGACAGAAAGAUAUAUAAGUUUACUUACAGGCACAUAAUACAGGGGCAGAAACAAGACGUUCAACACGUUCAACCCAGGAGAUGAACCCAGAACAAAAACCAGAGGACCAGAUCAUGACAUCAGAGUUGUUUUUCGAGUGUGUGUGUGUGUUUUUUUGCUAUCACUCUUUGAGACGAUGACCAGUUUUGGGGUAAAAAGUCUCCUCUGUACCCGCUGCACUCUGAAUAACUGCUCCAAACCCUGUUGUACGGUCUAUUUUGCAGGUGACGUCGGGCGGUGCAGUCCGAGAUCUUUUGGAAAUGCCGACCGUCACGUACGGUACAGUGCAAUAUGUGCGAGAUUACCCUGCUCUGAUUUACUUCUCCGCCGUGGCACUCGGAGCUCGUUCCCACUUUAUCUAGGAACGGCUCAUAAUACAGUUUCGAAUAAAGUUCCCGCAUUCUCGAGCAGACGAGCCUGUUUUUUGUCUCUUUGAUGGAGAAGAUGGAGAAGCGGUUGUUCAAGAAUAACGGAUGAGUGUGUCCAUCGCGAGCGUUUACGAACAGGUAGUCUUACCUUAGUAAGACGUGAAAAGCAACUCAUUUCACUAGCCAGAGCUGCUCUACUAACCUUUUAUUUGUGUCUUGUUUUAAAGUGGUUAUUCAUGUGGAUCAGGUGGUUGAGCGGAUUGUCCACUAAUCGUAGGGUUGGCGGUUCGAUUCCCGGCCCACGUGACUCCACGUGACUCCACAUGACUCCAUACGUCGAAGUGUGCUUGGGCAAGACACUGAACCCCGAGUUGCUCCCGAUGGCAAGUUAGCGCCUUGCAUGGCAGCUCUGCUACCAGUGGUGUGUGAGUGUGUGUGUGAAUGAGUGAAUGAGACACAGGGUAAAGCGCUUUGUAUAAAAGCGCUAUAUAAAUGCACCAUUUACCAUUUUAUAUAUCUACCGAGUCUCCCAAAAGUCUCUACAUAUAGGAAAAAUUCUCCAUACAGAGGGGAAAUGAACACUUUUUUUUUUUUUUUUUUUUUUUUACCAAAAUGUCUUCCAAAAUUGUUCAUACUUAGUUUAUAUGAUAUUUUUUUCAGAAUGCAAUUGACAAAAGAAAUGCCCCCCCCCCCCCCUCCCCAUGUAUGGAGACGUUCGGGACACCCUGUAUUUUCUGAAUCGAGUUAUCUAGUUUCUGAACGAAUAUCUCUAGUAUUGUAGCUAGACUCUAAUUUGAUGAGCUGCCUUCAGAUAAAUAAUUUAGCUGUAGGCAAAUUUCACACCCGACAGAGGAUCUUCUACAGAAAAGACACUCGCUCAGGUUUAGAAAACGUCUUGCUGACUUAUAGCUCGUUUCUUUUCCCAUAAGUUUGUCACAGCGGUGCGCAAACGUUUUUUUUGUAGCCAGGGAUCCCGUUAACUGUCAAAUAAAUGCCACAGUCCCCCUCAGUCUGAUUGAUGUCAUGAACAUUAUUGAAAUAAUUCUAGCGCAUAGAGCUUUCCAUUCCUGACAUUCAAGCAGUAGAAGACAUUACCUCUGAGUUGACUUCGGUGCUUGGCCCCCUAAAUAUAGUAACGUUAUUAACGUUGGUUGUGAUUUUUAAACACCGUAACAAAAACAAUCACAGACCGCUGGAUAAGCUACACGGACCCUGGGGGGGUACCCAGACCCCACUUUGAGACAAUAACCCCUCCCCCCACACCAUCCUCCAAAACGUACUCGGUCUGUUCGAGACGGCCGCCAUUGAAAGCCCCUAUCUUAUAGAAAAGAAAGAAAAGUUAUGUAAGGACUCAGCGCUAAUCCUGUAAUAUACUAUUUAAUUAAAAAAAAAAAAUCAAAAUAAUGAACAAAAAUCAGGGUGUCUGGUGCAGGCCAAAACAUCUGCGUUCAUGAAAAUGUCGGUUCGCGAUGACUCAUUAAUCGCAUUCGCAUUCAGGAGAAUGUGAAUCGGAUCAUAAUUCAAAAUUCUGGUAUUUCCCACAUCUGUAAUGUUGUUUUGCUUCUUGCAAUGCUUUUUCUUUCUGUGUUCUUAGAAAGUUUUCUCUCAAUCAUGUUCCUUACACUUUGCUGCUUCUUUUUUUUUUUUUUUUUUUUAAUGUUUAUUCAUUACCUCAGCAAAUAAACGAGGCUAGCUUGAGAAACUUCACUGUUCAUGUCAUGGCUUGUCGUGAACCCAGUGACUCAUGGGAAAUGUCCCACUUUAUCACAGGAAGUUUCCCACUACUUUUACGGCUGAUUACGAUCAUCACAGAAAGAAAUUAAUUCCACCAGUAAUUUCCCAUAUUACUCAGCUUUUGCAACGUUGCCUGCGCUGUGUCGUCACUCAAAACUUUAACCGACACGCACACGCACACACACACACACACACACGUCAGUCAGUGUGUAAUAUUUUCAUCAGGCCUGUGAUGGAUGGCUCGUGUGCUGCCAUGAAAAAGUCCUGCACGGGUGGUGCGGCGUGUCCUCAUAGCCCUGCUCUGGGAAAGCUUUCGUUCCCAGACCACUGGGUUCAGAGAGAGAAAAACACCCUAGAGGUUCAGUUUUUUGAGUCUCAUAGCUGGGGUUUACGCACAGUCCACUCCAGAAAUAUUGGCACCUUUUCAAGCGAACAUGUAUUAAAAUUUUCCACAAGUAUGAAAAGAAAUCUUUCCUUUAAUAAAAACCUCUCAUAAGAACAACCUGUUUUUUUUUUUUUUUUUUUUUUUUUUUUUUU
ensembl:lncRNA